CAGUAGCCGCGGUAAUACGUAGGGUGCAAGCGUUAAUCGGAAUUACUGGGCGUAAAGCGUGCGCAGGCGGUUGUGUAAGACAGGUGUGAAAUCCCCGGGCUUAACCUGGGAACUGCGCUUGUGACUGCACAGCUAGAGUAUGGCAGAGGGGGGUGGAAUUCCACGUGUAGCAGUGAAAUGCGUAGAGAUGUGGAGGAACACCGAUGGCGAAGGCAGCCCCCUGGGCCAAUACUGACGCUCAUGCACGAAAGCGUGGGGAGCAAACAGGAUUAGAUACCCCGGUAGUCCCUGUCUCUUAUAC
rnacentral:rRNA from 1 species